GCCCUCCUUAAUUUCUUCCUGUCAAUGGCUUUCUCGCUCACUCGCUCCCUAAUAGAGGCGGGCUGCCGAUGUACUUCACGUGGACCGCCUUCCCCUUUGCCCCGCCUCCAAUCGGGUGCACCACUACACACGUGCAAGAUCAUUCCUGACGCUUUCUCACAAACUCAGAGGCAGCACUUGUCGAUGAAGUUUCCCAUCAUUCACUCCUCUAAAAACAAAUACGCGACUGAAUGUGAACUCACGUCGGUCUCCAACGAGAAACAGACAGCCUUCUGCGCAGCGUCGAUCCUUCGACGUCUGCUCCGCUUUUCUGAAGUCGACAAGCGGCGCAAAUAUGUAACACAUAAUUGCAUACGUACGUAAGUGCAGGCACCCCUCGACGCAUGUGUGCGCGUGUGAUGAUACACCAAAGCAGGGAAUCUCUUGUCGAGCGCCGGCGCGCGUCGCCGGCGUGGUGACAUGACACACUUUGAGUAACCGAAUCCAUUCAUUGAAUUGCCUGACCCGUGCGUGUGUGUGUGCGUGUCGGACGCAUGCGUGUGCUCCCACCCCCCCCCCCAAAUGACGAAUGUGGCAUCUCUCCACGGACACCGCAUUCGCACUGCGGUGCGUGACAUCACUGUUGCCUUCGAACCUAAUACCAGGGCCGAUGCGGGCGUGGGUGUGGGUGUGCAGCUGAAGAGUGCCCGGACGUGUGCGACUGCGUGAUGAGCUAUAGGUCUACGACGAACAACUCGUCUGAUCACCCUUGUUGAUGACCCCACACACCUUUUGCUUCCUCACUGACUGGCAGUCGCGGCCGCUGUGUGCUUGCGCGCGUGGACGACGGAGCGCGGGGCAAGGCGGUGUGGAGCACGUGCGCACAUGGAGAUGCUGUGUGCGUUGCCGUCUUCGCACUUCCUCAGCCCCCUUCUCGCCUCCCUGCUGCUGCUGCUGCGCCGCUCUGGCGAUGCGCGCUGCGCAGAUGCGCCUCCGGUCGUUUCCGCAGUUGUCGGCUCUUGCUCUCUAUCGGCGGCACAUGAUUCGACACUUGGAUGAACUUGUCCUCCGCAGAGUGCCGCUGCUGCUCUCUGAAGAGGCGCGGCGUGCACGAGGCUGCAUGAAAACAUCCUGAUGACCGUGCCUGCGUGUGUGCGCCUUACGCAAAUGCGUAGCGGCGCUGCCACUGCCGCUCUCUGCGUGUCUGUGUUGGUGCGCCCGCCCCUCCCGCCUUCGCAUGCCGCCGCAGGAUUACCACACCAACGAGUUUCUGAUGUAAUGAGUCCGAGCCCUUCCGCGGCGACGAGUCGAUAACGCUGUCAACUGUGCAAUGAGGCGCUGCGUGGUGGGCGCUGUGGGCGUGUGCGUGUGUGCUGUGUGGGCCGAAGUGGUGCGCAUGCAGGCACCCCUCGACGCAUGUGUGCGCGUGUGAUGAUACACCAAAGCAGGGAAUCUCUUGUCGAGCGCCGGCGCGCGUCGCCGGCGUGGUGACAUGACACACUUUGAGUAACCGAAUCCAUUCAUUGAAUUGCCUGACCCGUGCGUGUGUGUGUGCGUGUCGGACGCAUGCGUGUGCUCCCACCCCCCCCCCAAAUGACGAAUGUGGCAUCUCUCCACGGACACCGCAUUCGCACUGCGGUGCGUGACAUCACUGUUGCCUUCGAACCUAAUACCAGGGCCGAUGCGGGCGUGGGUGUGGGUGUGCAGCUGAAGAGUGCCCGGACGUGUGCGACUGCGUGAUGAGCUAUAGGUCUACGACGAACAACUCGUCUGAUCACCCUUGUUGAUGACCCCACACACCUUUUGCUUCCUCACUGACUGGCAGUCGCGGCCGCUGUGUGCUUGCGCGCGUGGACGACGGAGCGCGGGGCAAGGCGGUGUGGAGCACGUGCGCACAUGGAGAUGCUGUGUGCGUUGCCGUCUUCGCACUUCCUCAGCCCCCUUCUCGCCUCCCUGCUGCUGCUGCUGCGCCGCUCUGGCGAUGCGCGCUGCGCAGAUGCGCCUCCGGUCGUUUCCGCAGUUGUCGGCUCUUGCUCUCUAUCGGCGGCACAUGAUUCGACACUUGGAUGAACUUGUCCUCCGCAGAGUGCCGCUGCUGCUCUCUGAAGAGGCGCGGCGUGCACGAGGCUGCAUGAAAACAUCCUGAUGACCGUGCCUGCGUGUGUGCGCCUUACGCAAAUGCGUAGCGGCGCUGCCACUGCCGCUCUCUGCGUGUCUGUGUUGGUGCGCCCGCCCCUCCCGCCUUCGCAUGCCGCCGCAGGAUUACCACACCAACGAGUUUCUGAUGUAAUGAGUCCGAGCCCUUCCGCGGCGACGAGUCGAUAACGCUGUCAACUGUGCAAUGAGGCGCUGCGUGGUGGGCGCUGUGGGCGUGUGCGUCUGUGCUGUGUGGGCCGAAGUGGUGCGCAUGCAGGCACCCCUCGACGCAUGUGUGCGCGUGUGAUGAUACACCAAAGCAGGGAAUCUCUUGUCGAGCGCCGGCGCGCGUCGCCGGCGUGGUGACAUGACACACUUUGAGUAACCGAAUCCAUUCAUUGAAUUGCCUGACCCGUGCGUGUGUGUGUGCGUGUCGGACGCAUGCGUGUGCUCCCACCCCCCCCCCAAAUGACGAAUGUGGCAUCUCUCCACGGACACCGCAUUCGCACUGCGGUGCGUGACAUCACUGUUGCCUUCGAACCUAAUACCAGGGCCGAUGCGGGCGUGGGUGUGGGUGUGCAGCUGAAGAGUGCCCGGACGUGUGCGACUGCGUGAUGAGCUAUAGGUCUACGACGAACAACUCGUCUGAUCACCCUUGUUGAUGACCCCACACACCUUUUGCUUCCUCACUGACUGGCAGUCGCGGCCGCUGUGUGCUUGCGCGCGUGGACGACGGAGCGCGGGGCAAGGCGGUGUGGAGCACGUGCGCACAUGGAGAUGCUGUGUGCGUUGCCGUCUUCGCACUUCCUCAGCCCCCUUCUCGCCUCCCUGCUGCUGCUGCUGCGCCGCUCUGGCGAUGCGCGCUGCGCAGAUGCGCCUCCGGUCGUUUCCGCAGUUGUCGGCUCUUGCUCUCUAUCGGCGGCACAUGAUUCGACACUUGGAUGAACUUGUCCUCCGCAGAGUGCCGCUGCUGCUCUCUGAAGAGGCGCGGCGUGCACGAGGCUGCAUGAAAACAUCCUGAUGACCGUGCCUGCGUGUGUGCGCCUUACGCAAAUGCGUAGCGGCGCUGCCACUGCCGCUCUCUGCGUGUCUGUGUUGGUGCGCCCGCCCCUCCCGCCUUCGCAUGCCGCCGCAGGAUUACCACACCAACGAGUUUCUGAUGUAAUGAGUCCGAGCCCUUCCGCGGCGACGAGUCGAUAACGCUGUCAACUGUGCAAUGAGGCGCUGCGUGGUGGGCGCUGUGGGCGUGUGCGUCUGUGCUGUGUGGGCCGAAGUGGUGCGCAUGCAGGCACCCCUCGACGCAUGUGUGCGCGUGUGAUGAUACACCAAAGCAGGGAAUCUCUUGUCGAGCGCCGGCGCGCGUCGCCGGCGUGGUGACAUGACACACUUUGAGUAACCGAAUCCAUUCAUUGAAUUGCCUGACCCGUGCGUGUGUGUGUGCGUGUCGGACGCAUGCGUGUGCUCCCACCCCCCCCCCAAAUGACGAAUGUGGCAUCUCUCCACGGACACCGCAUUCGCACUGCGGUGCGUGACAUCACUGUUGCCUUCGAACCUAAUACCAGGGCCGAUGCGGGCGUGGGUGUGGGUGUGCAGCUGAAGAGUGCCCGGACGUGUGCGACUGCGUGAUGAGCUAUAGGUCUACGACGAACAACUCGUCUGAUCACCCUUGUUGAUGACCCCACACACCUUUUGCUUCCUCACUGACUGGCAGUCGCGGCCGCUGUGUGCUUGCGCGCGUGGACGACGGAGCGCGGGGCAAGGCGGUGUGGAGCACGUGCGCACAUGGAGAUGCUGUGUGCGUUGCCGUCUUCGCACUUCCUCAGCCCCCUUCUCGCCUCCCUGCUGCUGCUGCUGCGCCGCUCUGGCGAUGCGCGCUGCGCAGAUGCGCCUCCGGUCGUUUCCGCAGUUGUCGGCUCUUGCUCUCUAUCGGCGGCACAUGAUUCGACACUUGGAUGAACUUGUCCUCCGCAGAGUGCCGCUGCUGCUCUCUGAAGAGGCGCGGCGUGCACGAGGCUGCAUGAAAACAUCCUGAUGACCGUGCCUGCGUGUGUGCGCCUUACGCAAAUGCGUAGCGGCGCUGCCACUGCCGCUCUCUGCGUGUCUGUGUUGGUGCGCCCGCCCCUCCCGCCUUCGCAUGCCGCCGCAGGAUUACCACACCAACGAGUUUCUGAUGUAAUGAGUCCGAGCCCUUCCGCGGCGACGAGUCGAUAACGCUGUCAACUGUGCAAUGAGGCGCUGCGUGGUGGGCGCUGUGGGCGUGUGCGUCUGUGCUGUGUGGGCCGAAGUGGUGCGCAUGCAGGCACCCCUCGACGCAUGUGUGCGCGUGUGAUGAUACACCAAAGCAGGGAAUCUCUUGUCGAGCGCCGGCGCGCGUCGCCGGCGUGGUGACAUGACACACUUUGAGUAACCGAAUCCAUUCAUUGAAUUGCCUGACCCGUGCGUGUGUGUGUGCGUGUCGGACGCAUGCGUGUGCUCCCACCCCCCCCCCAAAUGACGAAUGUGGCAUCUCUCCACGGACACCGCAUUCGCACUGCGGUGCGUGACAUCACUGUUGCCUUCGAACCUAAUACCAGGGCCGAUGCGGGCGUGGGUGUGGGUGUGCAGCUGAAGAGUGCCCGGACGUGUGCGACUGCGUGAUGAGCUAUAGGUCUACGACGAACAACUCGUCUGAUCACCCUUGUUGAUGACCCCACACACCUUUUGCUUCCUCACUGACUGGCAGUCGCGGCCGCUGUGUGCUUGCGCGCGUGGACGACGGAGCGCGGGGCAAGGCGGUGUGGAGCACGUGCGCACAUGGAGAUGCUGUGUGCGUUGCCGUCUUCGCACUUCCUCAGCCCCCUUCUCGCCUCCCUGCUGCUGCUGCUGCGCCGCUCUGGCGAUGCGCGCUGCGCAGAUGCGCCUCCGGUCGUUUCCGCAGUUGUCGGCUCUUGCUCUCUAUCGGCGGCACAUGAUUCGACACUUGGAUGAACUUGUCCUCCGCAGAGUGCCGCUGCUGCUCUCUGAAGAGGCGCGGCGUGCACGAGGCUGCAUGAAAACAUCCUGAUGACCGUGCCUGCGUGUGUGCGCCUUACGCAAAUGCGUAGCGGCGCUGCCACUGCCGCUCUCUGCGUGUCUGUGUUGGUGCGCCCGCCCCUCCCGCCUUCGCAUGCCGCCGCAGGAUUACCACACCAACGAGUUUCUGAUGUAAUGAGUCCGAGCCCUUCCGCGGCGACGAGUCGAUAACGCUGUCAACUGUGCAAUGAGGCGCUGCGUGGUGGGCGCUGUGGGCGUGUGCGUCUGUGCUGUGUGGGCCGAAGUGGUGCGCAUGCAGGCACCCCUCGACGCAUGUGUGCGCGUGUGAUGAUACACCAAAGCAGGGAAUCUCUUGUCGAGCGCCGGCGCGCGUCGCCGGCGUGGUGACAUGACACACUUUGAGUAACCGAAUCCAUUCAUUGAAUUGCCUGACCCGUGCGUGUGUGUGUGCGUGUCGGACGCAUGCGUGUGCUCCCACCCCCCCCCCCAAAUGACGAAUGUGGCAUCUCUCCACGGACACCGCAUUCGCACUGCGGUGCGUGACAUCACUGUUGCCUUCGAACCUAAUACCAGGGCCGAUGCGGGCGUGGGUGUGGGUGUGCAGCUGAAGAGUGCCCGGACGUGUGCGACUGCGUGAUGAGCUAUAGGUCUACGACGAACAACUCGUCUGAUCACCCUUGUUGAUGACCCCACACACCUUUUGCUUCCUCACUGACUGGCAGUCGCGGCCGCUGUGUGCUUGCGCGCGUGGACGACGGAGCGCGGGGCAAGGCGGUGUGGAGCACGUGCGCACAUGGAGAUGCUGUGUGCGUUGCCGUCUUCGCACUUCCUCAGCCCCCUUCUCGCCUCCCUGCUGCUGCUGCUGCGCCGCUCUGGCGAUGCGCGCUGCGCAGAUGCGCCUCCGGUCGUUUCCGCAGUUGUCGGCUCUUGCUCUCUAUCGGCGGCACAUGAUUCGACACUUGGAUGAACUUGUCCUCCGCAGAGUGCCGCUGCUGCUCUCUGAAGAGGCGCGGCGUGCACGAGGCUGCAUGAAAACAUCCUGAUGACCGUGCCUGCGUGUGUGCGCCUUACGCAAAUGCGUAGCGGCGCUGCCACUGCCGCUCUCUGCGUGUCUGUGUUGGUGCGCCCGCCCCUCCCGCCUUCGCAUGCCGCCGCAGGAUUACCACACCAACGAGUUUCUGAUGUAAUGAGUCCGAGCCCUUCCGCGGCGACGAGUCGAUAACGCUGUCAACUGUGCAAUGAGGCGCUGCGUGGUGGGCGCUGUGGGCGUGUGCGUCUGUGCUGUGUGGGCCGAAGUGGUGCGCAUGCAGGCACCCCUCGACGCAUGUGUGCGCGUGUGAUGAUACACCAAAGCAGGGAAUCUCUUGUCGAGCGCCGGCGCGCGUCGCCGGCGUGGUGACAUGACACACUUUGAGUAACCGAAUCCAUUCAUUGAAUUGCCUGACCCGUGCGUGUGUGUGUGCGUGUCGGACGCAUGCGUGUGCUCCCACCCCCCCCCCCAAAUGACGAAUGUGGCAUCUCUCCACGGACACCGCAUUCGCACUGCGGUGCGUGACAUCACUGUUGCCUUCGAACCUAAUACCAGGGCCGAUGCGGGCGUGGGUGUGGGUGUGCAGCUGAAGAGUGCCCGGACGUGUGCGACUGCGUGAUGAGCUAUAGGUCUACGACGAACAACUCGUCUGAUCACCCUUGUUGAUGACCCCACACACCUUUUGCUUCCUCACUGACUGGCAGUCGCGGCCGCUGUGUGCUUGCGCGCGUGGACGACGGAGCGCGGGGCAAGGCGGUGUGGAGCACGUGCGCACAUGGAGAUGCUGUGUGCGUUGCCGUCUUCGCACUUCCUCAGCCCCCUUCUCGCCUCCCUGCUGCUGCUGCUGCGCCGCUCUGGCGAUGCGCGCUGCGCAGAUGCGCCUCCGGUCGUUUCCGCAGUUGUCGGCUCUUGCUCUCUAUCGGCGGCACAUGAUUCGACACUUGGAUGAACUUGUCCUCCGCAGAGUGCCGCUGCUGCUCUCUGAAGAGGCGCGGCGUGCACGAGGCUGCAUGAAAACAUCCUGAUGACCGUGCCUGCGUGUGUGCGCCUUACGCAAAUGCGUAGCGGCGCUGCCACUGCCGCUCUCUGCGUGUCUGUGUUGGUGCGCCCGCCCCUCCCGCCUUCGCAUGCCGCCGCAGGAUUACCACACCAACGAGUUUCUGAUGUAAUGAGUCCGAGCCCUUCCGCGGCGACGAGUCGAUAACGCUGUCAACUGUGCAAUGAGGCGCUGCGUGGUGGGCGCUGUGGGCGUGUGCGUCUGUGCUGUGUGGGCCGAAGUGGUGCGCAUGCAGGCACCCCUCGACGCAUGUGUGCGCGUGUGAUGAUACACCAAAGCAGGGAAUCUCUUGUCGAGCGCCGGCGCGCGUCGCCGGCGUGGUGACAUGACACACUUUGAGUAACCGAAUCCAUUCAUUGAAUUGCCUGACCCGUGCGUGUGUGUGUGCGUGUCGGACGCAUGCGUGUGCUCCCACCCCCCCCCCCCCCAAAUGACGAAUGUGGCAUCUCUCCACGGACACCGCAUUCGCACUGCGGUGCGUGACAUCACUGUUGCCUUCGAACCUAAUACCAGGGCCGAUGCGGGCGUGGGUGUGGGUGUGCAGCUGAAGAGUGCCCGGACGUGUGCGACUGCGUGAUGAGCUAUAGGUCUACGACGAACAACUCGUCUGAUCACCCUUGUUGAUGACCCCACACACCUUUUGCUUCCUCACUGACUGGCAGUCGCGGCCGCUGUGUGCUUGCGCGCGUGGACGACGGAGCGCGGGGCAAGGCGGUGUGGAGCACGUGCGCACAUAGAGGCUCGAAUGUGGUGAUGUGGGACGCUUGGCGUAGGCCUUUUGCAUUCUUAUAUCGCUGAUGGGGAUGAUGGAUGUGUAGGAAUGGUUGUGGUUUCGGGGACAUUGCUGACUAUGAGGGCUGCUGUGUGGAGCAGUCGUGGGAGAUGCCGGAUUGUGGUGGUGGCGAUGGGUAUCGGGGUGUGGCUUUGGAUAAUGUUCUUCCGCCGUUCUUGCGUGUGCAUUUGUAGUGCGGCGCACCCGCUGGAAACCCGUUGUCUGUGUGCGUGUUUUUGGUGUCCGUGAUGGACUGCUGAGCAGUCGAGAGAGGCGAAAACGUUUGAAUGAGGCGUUGCGGCGGUGGGUAUCGAAGUAUUUUCCGCCUGCCCUAAAAGUAGGCUGCCUCGUUAACCUCACUACCAACCUUCUGGGCGUGUUCGUGCAUGUGGGCGCGUGGAUGCCUGAGCGCGACUGCACUGCCAGAUAAGAAACCGGAAACCUCUGCACAUACACCUACUCUUUUUGACUGACGUGCGCACCAUGUGUGUCUCAUUCUUGUCGGCCCUCAUCGUCGCUCUCCCCAUCCGUGCACGACAUACUUUUUUUUCUCUACGCCCUUCGUCGCGUUCGCGCCGGCAAACUUGCACGUACCCUGAUGGCUGUGCCGUUCCUUUUUCAG
rnacentral:misc_RNA from 1 species